GUCUGGAAGCUCAGGCACAGCCCUCCUUGACCAGGAGGUGGCCCCACCAAUCAGUGUUGGCUUUAUCCUAUACAUAACUAACCAGCAAAGGUAUUUGGAAUAAGAGGUUUAUCCCUUGCUGCAGUGUCCCGGGAUGAGUGAAACUAGGGUAUAAACUGACAGCAGUCAUACAAUCAGUUCACAGAUACACAUAGAUCAGUCUAAACAUACUCAGGGUCUUUCACUAAAGUGAGAACUGUCAGGAAUUCACUGGGGAAUUAAAGUGAAUUUCAAAUGUAAGGCCGAAAUAUCUGAACUUGAAGGAUAGUUGAAUUGUAG